AACUUUGGAGGUUUGAAGGAGAUCAAAAAUCACCCUAGUUCUAACCAGAAUUUAUACCAGCCAGCUAUUCUGCUGUGUUCCACAAAUAACAUGCCGGACAGCUUUCGAGAAACCGAAACGUUUAGGA
rnacentral:rRNA from 1 species